rnacentral:lncRNA from 1 species
ACCUAUAAAGUUUGACUAUCUUAUACGUUGCAAAGUUUCAGAUUUUUUUAGAACUUUUUUUUAUUUUUUUAUUUUACUAGUUCAUAGAGGAUGCCUAGGCAUCCGGGUCUCAUAUACAACCACCAUGAAGUCUUCAUAGAGGGUUCAUAUACCACCACCGUGAAGUGUUCAUAGAGUGUUCUCAGAAUUUUUUUUUUUACUAGUCCAUAGAGGGUUCAUAGAGCGUUGCACCAUAGAAGUUACACCUUUCUCAUAUAACCAGUCUGUGUGUCUCUCCAUGCAUGGUUACCGAUUAGUUUUUGCACCUUUCUCGUGGAAACAAUGCAAGAAAUGACCAAUGUAUAUACCACCACCGAUCCACCAAGCACCGACUGUGUUCUCUUCAUCUUUGAGAGCCGCUGAGGUACAUCGCCUUCCUCAUGUACAAUCACUGUCCGAAUACUGUGACAAGAAUAAAUAGGAAUGGAAAGGACGUGAGAAUAGGAGACGUCAGGAAGGAAAAUAACGCUAGACAUCAAGUUCAGAGUAGAUCCUACUCUUACAUCUUGACUUAAUUAGGUGUUGGUGGUUGUAGCUUCUGCCCAGUGCCCACCAUGUGGGUCUGAGGUCCACGGUGACGCGCUCCGAUCAACCGGCCAUGCAAUUGCAUGCCAACUUGGGUGCAACGCCCCCCUCCAUUAGAUCUCCUUUGUUGUCAUGAUUUGGGGAGCCAGGCAACCACAUCUUCACCUGCUGCUCUCUCCACGCCCAAGUGGCAUUUUUUCGGAUUUUCUCAGAUUUGGUGUUUAAACGAAAAACCUAGGAUUUGACCAUUGGUGGUUGUAUCUGGUGAUGGUAGCGCUUCACCGUCCUUCCCUCGUGGGAGGUGCUGAUGCUGGAGAACCUUUUCUAUUGUCUCAUAUCAACAUAUGGUAGGCAUGGAGAUGAUCAUUUUUUUAGUUUAUGAAUCUGUUUUUUGAUUGCUUCAAUGUUCAUUUUCUUUUCUUUUCGUCUGCCUAGGCACACAUCAAUUUUUUUAUGAAUUUUCUCUUUGUUGGCGUGAUUGUUUGUGUGUGUCUGCAUUGCUGUUGGUGGUUUUCAUUCUAGUCAUGCAGAGGUAUGUUGUGUGCUUGUUGUGUUUGUAUUCCUUCAUGCUUCUUUUUCGUCAGUAAAUCCACCAUUGACGCAAAAAUGAUUUAGAAGACUAGACAUUUCAAAUGAUUUAGAAGCCUAGACAUUUCUUCAUGCUUCAUGUAGCUUGUUCGUGUACUUCAUGACAAAGUUUUUACUGAUGAAAUGUACUAACUGAACCCUAUUGUGGGGUCCGUUAAUAAAAUUAUGUGGACCCAUAAUACAUUUUUCUGAAAAGAAACAAAACUACACUAAAAUAAAAAAAUGACUAAAAUCACACCAUUUUGCAGGAGCCUUAGGGCACCUCCAACGUCGACCCAUCAAAAGUCUCGGGUAUAUAUCCGUUUUUAUGUCCGGACGUGGUCUGCAAAAAUGAUACGGAGAAAGCAAUCCAACGCUAACUACAAAGUAUCCGUCUGGGAAGAGGAAAAGUUGGUAGUGACCAUGCAUGUGUUGGCAUUUUGUGGUGCGGUGUCCGGUUGGGAGAAGAGAUAGGUGAGAGGGAUCAUGCAUGUGCGGAGAGAGUGUGAAGAUAACAGAUGUUUGGAACACGGGACUGGGUUCUAUUGCAAAUGUGAAUAAGUGUCCAACCGGACAUACAACAGAGUUUUCCGGAGUGAAAUGGGUGAAAUCAUGUAAUGCUCACAUUCACUAUGUUGGAGACUUACAAAUAUUUUGCAGGAUAUGAAGUCAUUGUAAACUUCGAUGCAGG